rnacentral:rRNA from 1 species
GACGAACGCUGGCGGCGUGCCUAAUACAUGCAAGUCGAGCGGGGAUUAUGCUUGAUCGCUUCGGUGAGACGGCAUAUAUCCUAGCGGCGGACGGGUGAGUAACGCGUGGGUAAUCUACCUCGUAGUUCGGGAUAACAGGCCGAAAGGCUUGCUAAUACCGGAUGAGUUCAUGCUUAUGCAUAUAGGCAUGAAGAAAGGGCUAGCCCGCUAUGAGAUGAGCCCGCGUCCCAUUAGCUUGUUGGUGGGGUAAUGGCCUACCAAGGCAACGAUGGGUAGCCGGCCUGAGAGGGUGUACGGCCACACUGGGACUGAGACACGGCCCAGACUCCUACGGGGGGCAGCAGUAGGGAAUUUUCGGCAAUGGGCGAAAGCCUGACCGAGCGACGCCGCGUGAGGGACGAAGGCCUUCGGGUUGUAAACCUCUGUCUGGGGGGAUGAGAACGGACGGUACCCUCGGAGGAAGCCCCGGCUAACUACGUGCCAGCAGCCCGCGGUAAGACGUAGGGGGCGAGCGUUGUCCGGAAUUACUGGGCGUAAAAGGGCGUGUANGGCGGCCUUUCA